UGUGCAUUAUGUGUCUGUACAUUUACUUUGUCUUGGCAGCUUCUUGUCAACUAGAGUAGACAAUAAAAUAGUGGACAAUGUUGAAUUAUAAGUGCUUGAGUUGAUUUCAGGAUUAAUAGUUUUGUUUUCUGCUCAUUUGUAUUUCUUUAUACUUAGUCCAGGUGUCAUAGCUUGAUUGGUUAGAUAGUGAAUGGCUGAGAUUGCUUUGAUAAAAUGCAUCCAGCUGGUACUGUGCAUAACGGUUAUUUCUCCACACACCAAGAGAGUGUUGUAGUACUGAAAAUCUGAGCAAAUGAGAAUGUUCUCUCUGCUACACGUAUAGUAGAGCAGUUUUGGAUUUCGUCAAGUUUUAUUAAAUUCUCUUCUCUCUUCUCACAAAAUCUCAUACACAGAUCCUAAAACUCUAACAGACAAGACUCAGAAAAAGCUCGAAUAUAGAAAACAAUGAAUCUAAGAAUGAAUAGACAAGAAUACAAUUGGGGGAAUUCUAGUCAAGAAGAAUGGUUAUGAAUAAGAUUGGGACAAUUAGAAGGAAUUUCGAAAGAUAAAAGGAUUUCGACGAGUUUUGGGUUGAGUGUUUUUAUAAAACAACAAAUUUCAAAAUUUUCUUGCUCCCCCAAAGUC
rnacentral:lncRNA from 1 species